GCUCGUGUCGUGAGAUGUUGGUUAAGUCCCGCAACGAGCGCAACCCUCGACCUUAGUUGCCAGCAUUCAGUUGGGCACUCUAAGGUGACUGCCGGCUAAAAGUCGGAGGAAGGUGGGGAUGACGUCAAAUCAUCAUGCCCCUUAUGACCUGGGCUACACACGUGCUACAAUGGGCGGUACAAAGGGUCGCGAACCCGCGAGGGGGAGCCAAUCCCAAAAAGCCGCUCUCAGUUCGGAUUGCAGGCUGCAACUCGCCUGCAUGAAGCCGGAAUCGCUAGUAAUCGCGGAUCAGCAUGCCGCGGUGAAUACGUUCCCGGGCCUU
rnacentral:rRNA from 1 species